rnacentral:rRNA from 1 species
GACGAACGCUGGCGGCGUGCCUAAUACAUGCAAGUAGAACGCUGAAGAGAGGAGCUUGCUCUUCUUGGAUGAGUUGCGAACGGGUGAGUAACGCGUAGGUAACCUGCCUUGUAGCGGGGGAUAACUAUUGGAAACGAUAGCUAAUACCGCAUAACAAUAGGUGACACAUGUCAUUUAUUUGAAAGGGGCAAUUGCUCCACUACAAGAUGGACCUGCGUUGUAUUAGCUAGUAGGUGAGGUAACGGCUCACCUAGGCGACGAUACAUAGCCGACCUGAGAGGGUGAUCGGCAAAAAUGGGAAUGGGACACGGCCCAGACUCCUACGGGAGGCAGCAGUAGGGAAUCUUCGGCAAUGGGGGGAACCCUGACCGAGCAACGCCGCGUGAGUGAAGAAGGUUUUCGGAUCGUAAAGCUCUGUUGUAAGUCAAGAACGAGUGUGAGAGUGGAAAGUUCACACUGUGACGGUAGCUUACCAGAAAGGGACGGCUAACUACGUG